UACGGAGGGUGCAAGCGUUAUCCGGAUUCACUGGGUUUAAAGGGUGCGUAGGUGGGUUGGUAAGUCAGUGGUGAAAUCUCCGUGCUUAACAUGGAAACUGCCAUUGAUACUACUGAUCUUGAAUUUUCUGGAGGUAAGCGGAAUAUGUCAUGUAGCGGUGAAAUGCUUAGAUAUGACAUAGAACACCAAUUGCGAAGACAGCUUGCUACAGGGAUAUUGACACUGAGGCACGAAAGCGUGGGGAUCAAACAGG
rnacentral:rRNA from 1 species